AUUGAACGCUGGCGGCAUGCCUUACACAUGCAAGUCGAACGGCAGCACGGGGGCAACCCUGGUGGCGAGUGGCGAACGGGUGGGUAAUGCAUCGGAACGUGCCCCGUAGCGGGGGAUAACCAGUCGAAAGACUGGCUAAUACCGCAUACGCUCCACGGAGGAAAGCAGGGGAUCGCAAGACCUUGCACUAUGGGAGCGGCCGAUGCCCGAUUAGCUAGUUGGUGAGGAAAGGCUCACCAAGGCGACGAUCGGUAGCUGGUUUGAGAGAACGACCAGCCACACUGGGACUGAGACACGGCCCAGACUCCUACGGGAGGCAGCAGUGGGGAAUUUUGGACAAUGGGCGCAAGCCUGAUCCAGCCAUGCCG
rnacentral:rRNA from 1 species